rnacentral:rRNA from 1 species
CCUAACGGGAGGCAGCAGUNGGAAUUUUGGACAAUGGGGGGCAACCCUGAUCCAGCCAUGUCCGCGUGAGUGAAGAAGGCCUUCGGGUUGUAAAGCUCUUUCGGCCGGGAAGAAAUCGCAUCAGCUAAUACCUGGUGUGGAUGACGGUACCGGAAUAAGAAGCACCGGCUAANUACGUGCCAGCAGCCGCGGUAAUACGUAGGGUGCGAGCGUUAAUCGGAAUUACUGGGCGUAAAGCGUGCGCAGGCGGUUGUGUAAGACAGGCGUGAAAUCCCCGGGCUCAACCUGGGAACUGCGCUUGUGACUGCACAGCUAGAGUACGGCAGAGGGGGGUGGAAUUCCACGUGUAGCAGUGAAAUGCGUAGAGAUGUGGAGGAACACCGAUGGCGAAGGCAGCCCCCUGGGCCGAUACUGACGCUCAUGCACGAAAGCGUGGGUAGCAAACAGGAUUAGAUACCCUGGUAGUCCACGCCCUAAACGAUGUCAACUAGGUGUUGGGUGGGUAAAACCAUUUAGUACCGUAGCUAACGCGUGAAGUU